UAAAGAAUUAACAUAGUUCACUACCCAAAUGGCUGCAAAGGCUGGAGCUGGGCCAAUCUGAAGCCAGGAGUUUCUUCUAAACUCACAGAUUUCUGAUAAAAUGUACAAUGGGUGGGUACAUUUUUGAUAAAUUUUGUUUCUGAAAAUUACUAAAUCUACUCUCAACCAUCAAUUAUAUUUGGCUAAGUAUAUAAUUCUACAUUCCUAAUUGCAUUCAUACAUAUACAUUUUCCUUUUUAGUCCAGAUUCUGGUUUUUAUAAUUUCCCUGCUGACUUACAAAGUUGUGUGUGUGUGGAUCCUCACCCCAUCCCAUGUGGUGACUUUUGGGACUUGCUAAAUUUCAUAAGCAGGGUCUGUUUUCUCUCUGAGAGAAAAUGUCAGCGUGAACCCCUCAGCAUGGUGGUGAGCACCUUCUCGCCUCUCCUUGGUAAAAGUGAAGUCACAUGCCCCUGCCAAAGUCUGCUCUUGGCCGGGAGCGAAGAAUCAAGAGGAGGAGUUGAAGUGUCAGACUUGUCCCACCAGGACUGGGAAUCAAACUGAAUCAUCAGCUUUUCUGAGUUGAGCCUUCCAGCAUUUGGACUGGAGCGGUGCUGUCAGGGCUCCUGGAUCGUGGGCUCUCAGACACAGCCAGGAAGGAAACCAUCCACUCUUCUACAUCUCCUGGUUGCUGACUCAUCCUGCAGAUACUAGGACUUUUCAGGCCCUGUGCUUUGUGUAAGCACAUUCUGGUUUCUCUAGAGAACCCUGACUUGCACACUAGACUGAAUAUAUAACAAUCAUUAAAAAUAAUUAAUGAAGUAUACACUAAUGUAUAACAUUAAAAUUCAAUUUUUGUCAUGUACAUGUUUCUGAACUAUAAGGAUACUAUGUAACCAUUUAAUAACCAUCUCACUAAUGUACAGAACUAAAAUUCCUCUGCAUAUAUCCUAAAUACCUCCUAUUUCCUAACUUUCUGAAAUAAUUCAUCUGCUUUC